rnacentral:rRNA from 1 species
UAAUACGAAGGGUGCAAGCGUUACUCGGAAUUACUGGGCGUAAAGCGUGCGUAGGCGGUUUGUUAAGUCUGCCGUGAAAGCCCCGGGCUCAACCUGGGAAUUGCGGUGGAUACUGGCAGGCUAGAGUACGGUAGAGGAUGGUGGAAUUCCCGGUGUAGCAGUGAAAUGCGUAGAGAUCGGGAGGAACAUCUAUGGCGAAGGCAGCCAUCUGGACCAGUACUGACGCUGAGGCACGAAAGCGUGGGGAGCAAACAGG